GCCGGCGUAGCUCAGGGGUAGAGCAGCUGUUUUGUAAACAGCAGGUCGUCGGUUCGAAACCGACCGCCGGCU
rnacentral:tRNA from 1 species